rnacentral:rRNA from 1 species
AACCUGCCUAAAAGAAKGGGAUAACACUUGKAAACAGGUGCUAAUACCGUAUAUCUCUAAGGAUCRCAUGAUCCUUAGAUGAAAGAUGGUUCUGYUAUCGCUUUUACAUGGACCCGMGGCGUAUUAACUAGUUGGUGGGGUAACGGCCCUACCAAGGUGAUGAUACGUAGCCGAACUGAGAGGUUGAUCGGCCACAUUGGGACUGAGACACGGCCCAAACUCCUACGGGAGGCAGCAGUAGGGAAUCUUCCACAAUGGACGCAAGUCUGAUGGAGCAACGCCGCGUGAGUGAAGAAGGUCUUCGGAUCGUAAAACUCUGUUGUUAGAGAAGAACACGAGUGAGAGUAACUGUUCAUUCGAUGACGGUAUCUAACCAGCAAGUCACGGCUAACUACGUGCCAGCAGCCGCGGUAAUACGUAGGUGGCAAGCGUUGUCCGGAUUUAUUGGGCGUAAAGGGAACGCAGGCGGUCUUUUAAGUCUGAUGUGAAAGCCUUCGGCUUAACCGGAGUAGUGCAUUGGAAACUGGAAGACUUGAGUGCAGAAGAGGAGAGUGGAAMCUCCAUGUGUAGCGGUGAAAUGCGUAGAUAUAUGGAAGAACACCAGUGGCGAAAGCGGCUCUCUGGUCUGUAACUGACGCUGAGGUUCGAAAGCGUGGGUAGCAAACAGGAUUAGAUACCCUGGUAGUCCACGCCGUAAACGAUGAAUGCUAGGUGUUGGAGGGUUUCCGCCCUUCAGUGCCGCAGCUAACGCAAUAAGCAUUCCGCCUGGGGAGUACGACCGCAAGGUUGAAACUCAAAGGAAUUGACGGGGGCCCGCACAAGCGSUSCNAGCAUGUGGUUUAAUUCGAAGCAACGCGAAGAACCUUACCAGGUCUUGACAUCCUUUGACCACCUAAGAGAUUAGGNUUUCCCUUCGGGGACAAAGUGACAGGUGGUGCAUGGCUGUCGUCAGCUCGUGUCGUGAGAUGUUGGGUUAAGUCCCGCAACGAGCGCAACCCUUGUUGUCAGUUGCCAGCAUUAAGUUGGGCACUCUGGCGAGACUGCCGGUGACAAACCGGAGGAAGGUGGGGACGACGUCAAGUCAUCAUGCCCCUUAUGACCUGGGCUACACACGUGCUACAAUGGACGGUACAACGAGUCGCAAGACCGCGAGGUUUAGCUAAUCUCUUAAAGCCGUUCUCAGUUCGGAUUGUAGGCUGCAACUCGCCUACAUGAAGUCGGAAUCGCUAGUAAUCGCGAAUCAGCAUGUCGCGGUGAAUACGUUCCCGGGCCUUGUACACACCGCCCGUCACACCAUGAGAGUUUGUAACACCCAAAGCCGGUGGGGUAACCGCAAGGAGCCAGCCGUCUAAGG